UACGUAGGGUGCAAGCGUUGUCCGGAAUUAUUGGGCGUAAAGAGCUCGUAGGCGGUCUGUCGCGUCUGCUGUGAAAACCUAGGGCUUAACUCUGGGCGUGCAGUGGGUACGGGCAGACUAGAGUGAUGUAGGGGGAGACUGGAAUUCCUGGUGUAGCGGUGAAAUGCGCAGAUAUCAGGAGGAACACCGAUGGCGAAGGCAGGUCUCUGGGCAUUAACUGACGCUGAGGAGCGAAAGCAUGGGGAGCGAACAGG
rnacentral:rRNA from 1 species